rnacentral:rRNA from 1 species
AUUGAACGCUGGCGGCAUGCCUUACACAUGCAAGUCGAACGGCAGCACGGACUUCGGUCUGGUGGCGAGUGGCGAACGGGUGAGUAAUAUAUCGGAACAUACCUUGUAGUGGGGGAUGACUAUCCGAAAGGAUAGCUAAUACCGCAUACGCUCUAAGGAGGAAAGCGGGGGAUCGUAAGACCUCGUGCUAUAAGAGUGGCCGAUAUCUGAUUAGCUAGUUGGUGAGGUAAAGGCUCACCAAGGCGACGAUCAGUAGCUGGUCUGAGAGGACGACCAGCCACACUGGAACUGAGACACGGUCCAGACUCCUACGGGAGGCAGCAGUGGGGAAUUUUGGACAAUGGGGGCAACCCUGAUCCAGCAAUGCCGCGUGAGUGAAGAAGGCCUUCGGGUUGUAAAGCUCUUUUGUCAGGGAAGAAACGGUUGUGGCUAAUAUCCAUGGCUAAUGACGGUACCUGAAGAGUAAGCACCGGCUAACUACGUGCCAGCCGCCGCCGUAAAAC